rnacentral:misc_RNA from 1 species
CGCAGAGCAGCAUCACCCGGAGGCGUUUGCCUCGUUGACUCAUUGCGUGUGUGUGUGCGCCCGCACACUUGCGCGAACACUUCCGCGCAGUAUACCGAGAGCAUCAUCUCAGUCUCUCGUCCUUUCUUCCCUUCCUAUUUUCCCUCUGCCAACUUCUCAGCAACGCCGGCACCGUUUCCGUGUGCAUCGCCGCCGCGAUGGACGCCCCGGGCACUGCGGUAGAGCAGUACUUUAACCAGCUCAUCCACAUGUGCCUCUUGACUCAGGUGGUGGUGUCUGACAAGCAGGGCAACACGAUUCUCGCCUGCUUCGGCACGCCAGGCGCGAUGGGCGGCGAUGUGAACGGCGUCAGCGGCAGCGGUGAUGGACAGGAGGACGAGCUGCCAAUGGAGAGCAACGUCACCGUGAGUGGCGCGCGUUACUUCCAAAAUCUCGAGCAGCUGCAGCUCGGUACCCCUACGUACAUCACCGCUCAGUACCACGAUGCUGUGGUGGUGCAGCUGAUGGAGCCUGGCGGGUCGAUCCUGACGCUUAUUGGGAGUCGGGCGAAGGGGCACUUUACGGGCGGCUUGCUUUCUCUCGUCCCGCAGAUUCACAGCACGGCAGUGUACACGGAACUUUUACGAAAGGUGGAGGAGUGCACACAGUAGCCACGGAUGCGGAGAGCGCGGGAGAGCGGGUCGCCUCGAAUCCGGUGCGAGGCCGACGGCGCUUCAGCUGCUGUUAUUACCGGCGAUCCGUGUAUACGGUGCCGUGGAGGCGAUGCUGUUUCCAGUGAGCGCGUGCUCCCUACCAGUGCGGCGCUCCCACUCGUGUGCGUGUGUAUACACUUGAACGCUUGUUUUCUACGAAGGAAGCGGAGGGAGAGAGCCCUUCUCUCCCCCAAGAAC